UGGCGGACGGUGAGUAACGCGUGAGAAUCUGCCUUUAGGACGGGGACAACAGUUGGAAACGGCUGCUAAAACCCGAUGUGCCCUUCGGGGUGAAAUAUUUAUAGCCUGAAGAUGAGCUCGCGUCUGAUUAGCUAGUAGGUGCGGUAACGGCGUACCUAGGCGACGAUCAGUAACUGGUCUGAGAGGAUGACCAGUCACACUGGGACUGAGACACGGCCCAG
rnacentral:rRNA from 1 species